rnacentral:rRNA from 1 species
CCCUUAGAUGUCCUGGGCUGCACGCGCGCUACACUGGAAGUUACGGAUUGAGAUACUACCUUGUCCGAAAUGGUCCGGGUAAUCACCUAAAAGCUUGUCAUAAUUGGAAUGGAUUAUUGUAACUAGUAAUCCUGAACGAGGAAUUCCUAGUAAGUCCCAGUCAACAGCUGGUACUGAUUACGUCCCUGCCCUUUGUACACACCGCCCGUCGCUACUACUGAUUGGACGUUUAAGCAAGAUUUUUAAACACUGACAGUGUGUAGUUCACGCUAUACUACAGUGAGAAGAAGAAGAUCGAGCUUACUUGUCUAGAGGAAGUGAAAGUCGUAACA